UACGUAGGGUGCAAGCGUUGUCCGGAAUUAUUGGGCGUAAAGGGCUCGUAGGCGGUCUGUUGCGUCGGGAGUGAAAACUCAGGGCUUAACCCUGAGCCUGCUUCCGAUACGGGCAGACUAGAGGUAUGCAGGGGAGAACGGAAUUCCUGGUGUAGCGGUGGAAUGCGCAGAUAUCAGGAGGAACACCGAUGGCGAAGGCAGCUCUCUGGGACGGUACUGACGCUGAGACGCGAAAGCGUGGGGGAGCGAACAGG
rnacentral:rRNA from 1 species